rnacentral:lncRNA from 1 species
CAACAUCCUCCAGCCGGACUGCAGAGGGCGUCCAUCCCCGCCCCCAAGAGCGUACAGAUUUUCAAUUGCAAUAUCAGCCACUUCUAAACUACUUGUUUAAGCUGUUGAUUUGGAGAAAAGAAAGAAACAAGAACACAGUAUCACCAUGCAAGAUGAGGAAGAAAGACUAUAAUAGUCAGAGAUCAUCAAGGUCUACUUAGAAACAUUAUCUCCCAGACAUAACAGGCUCAUUACACAUAUGAAAUCACAGAAACUCUGACCAUAUGGAAAAUGACUGCAUUAAGUAAAAUCAGACACAAUCCCAACUUAGACCAGGGAGUAGCUCAUGAAGCUCAAUCCUGGAUGAGAUGCUUCCGGAAACGGCUGACUCCUGGGAAAGAA